rnacentral:rRNA from 1 species
AGAAUCAACGCUGGCGGCGUGCCUAACACAUGCAAGUCGAACGAGAAAGUGGAGCAAUCCAUGAGUAAAGUGGCGACCGGGUGAGUAACACGUGACUAACCUACCUUUCAGUGGGGAAUAACCUCGGGAAACCGGGCUAAUACCGCAUAAUGUCUUCGGACCAAAGGAGCAAUUCGCUGAAAGAGGGGUCGCGGCCGAUUAGCUAGUUGGCGGGGUAACGGCCCACCAAGGCAAUGAUCGGUAGCCGGCCUGAGAGGGCGCACGGCCACACUGGAACUGAAACACGGUCCAGACUCCUACGGGAGGCAGCAGUGGGGAAUUUGCGCAAUGGGGGAAACCCUGACGCAGCAACGCCGCGUGGAGGAUGAAGCCCCUUGGGGUGUAAACUCCUUUCGAUCGGGACGAUUAUGACGGUACCGGAUGAAGAAGCACCGGCUAACUCUGUGCCAGCAGCCGC